GCGUUGUUAGCUCAGCUGGAUAGAGCGUCUGGCUACGGACCAGAAGGUCGGGGGUUCGAAUCCCUCACAGCGUGCCA
rnacentral:tRNA from 1 species